rnacentral:rRNA from 1 species
UACGUAGGUGGCAAGCGUUGUCCGGAAUUAUUGGGCGUAAAGCGCGCGCAGGCGGUCCUUUAAGUCUGAUGUGAAAGCCCACGGCUCAACCGUGGAGGGUCAUUGGAAACUGGGGGACUUGAGUACAGAAGAGGAAAGCGGAAUUCCACGUGUAGCGGUGAAAUGCGUAGAGAUGUGGAGGAACACCAGUGGCGAAGGCAGUGCUCUGGGCUAACAUUGACGCUGAGGUGCGAAAGCUAGGGUAGCGAACGGG